rnacentral:rRNA from 1 species
AACGAACGCUGGCGGCGUGCCUAACACAUGCAAGUCGAACGGGAAAGCUCUUCGGAGUGAGUAGAGUGGCGCACGGGUGAGUAACACGUAGGUAACCUACCUUUUAGUGGGGGAUAACUCGGGGAAACUCGGGCUAAUACCGCAUAAGUUGGUAACAAGAAAGGAUGCUUCGGCAUUCGCUGGAAGAUGGGCCUGCGUAGCAUUAGUUUGAUGGUGGGGUAAUGGCCUACCAUGACUACGAUGCUUAGCUGGUCUGAGAGGAUGAUCAGCCACACUGGAACUGAGACACGGUCCAGACUCCUACGGGAGGCAGCAGUGGGGAAUAUUGCGCAAUGGGCGAAAGCCUGACGCAGCAACGCCGCGUGAGUGAGGAAGGCCUUCGGGUUGUAAAGCUCUGUCAGAUGGGAAGAACAUCAGUUGGUCUAAUAGGCCUUCUGCCUGACGGUACCAUCAAAGGAAGCACCGGCUA